UCCACCGCGAGGUGGAAUCUGAAGGAAGCAGGCGGCAAACGUUUGGGCCUACGAAUAGGAACUGCAUAGGAGGCGUGACCGUGGGGGUGAUGCUGCAAAAAGAGCAAAAGCCCGAUACUGUGCGGAAAACGGAUACGUAGAUGCGGAGGCCACAUGAACGGAAAGCGGACAUGC
rfam:Sphingobacteriales bacterium 50-39 SCNpilot_cont_1000_p_scaffold_111, whole genome shotgun sequence.